GGUCUUAUAGCUCAGUUGGUUAGAGCACCUGACUCAUAAUCAGGUGGUCCCAGGUUCGAGUCCUGGUGGGACCA
rnacentral:tRNA from 7 species